rnacentral:misc_RNA from 1 species
GAUGAAGAACGUAGCGAAAUGCGAUAAGUAAUGUGAAUUGCAGAAUUCAGUGAAUCAUCGAAUCUUUGAACGCACAUUGCGCCCGCCAGUAUUCUGGCGGGCAUGCCUGUUCGAGCGUCAUUUCAACCAUCAAGCCCCCGGCUUGUGUUGGGGACCUGCGGCUGCCGCAGGCCCUGAAAACCAGUGGCGGGCUCGCUAGUCACUCCGAGCGUAGUAAUACAUCUCGCUCAGGGCGUGCUGCGGGUUCCGGCCGUUAAAAAGCCUUAUUUACCCAAGGUUGACCUCAAAUCAGGUAGGACUACCCGCUGAACUUAAGCAUAUCAAUAAGCGGAGGA